rnacentral:rRNA from 1 species
ACAAGCGGAGGAGCAUGUGGUUAAUUCGAUGAUACGCGAGGAACCUACCUGGGCUCGAACGUAAGAUGACUGUAGGUGAAAGCUUACAUCUCUUCGGAGCAUUUUACGAGGUGCUGCAUGGUUGUCGUCAGCUCGUGCCGUGAGGUGUCGGGUUAAGUCCCAUAACGAGCGCAACCCCUACCUUUAGUUGCCAUCAGGUAAUGCUGGGGACUCUAAAGGAACUGCCUACGCAAGUAGUGAGGAAGGCGGGGAUGACGUCAAAUCAGCACGGCCCUUACGUCCAGGGCUACACACGUGCUACAAUGGCCGAUACAGAGGGCAGCUACCUGGUGACAGGAUGCAAAUCUCCAAAGUCGGUCUCAGUUCGGAUCGGAGUCUGCAACCCGACUCCGUGAAGUUGGAUUCGCUAGUAAUCGCGCAUCAGCCAUGGCGCGGUGAAUACGUUCCCGGGCCUU